UGCCUGGAAAACUAGUGGUUAGGCCUCGGCGCUCUUACCGCCAUGGUCCGGGUUCGAUUCCUGGCCAGGGAA